AGAAAACUGUUGAGCCCAAGAAUGAAGCUGCUGAUGCUCCAGCACAAAAGAAACAGAAAGAGGAUGAUACCUGUUACUUUUGCAAUGUGUCUGGGCAUAUGAAAAAGAAAUGUACUAAAUAUCACGCUUGGCGUGCAAGGAAAGGGUUGCCUAAGCUACCGGAAGCCAAAUGAUGUUGAAAGAUACAUCUAUGUUGGAGAUGGCAAGACGGUGGAGGUGGAAGCUAUAGGGCAUUUUAGAUUAUUAUUGUGUACUGGAUUUUAUUUGGAUUUGAAAGACACUUUUGUGGUACCGUCAUUUAGACGGAAUUUAAUUUCAGUUUCUAAUUUGGACAAAUCAGGUUAUUCAUGUUCAUUUGGAAACAGUAAAGCCGAGUUGUCUUUUAAUUCAAAUAUUGUUGGAACCGGUUCACUUAUUGGAUAUGAUAAUCUGUAUUUGCUGA